CAGUAUAGUCAAAGACCAACUCCUUAUUUAAACAUUAUACUAAGACUAACAAAGUCAUAUUAACAUGCAUGUCACAGCCCCCUUUUCUGCUUUAUAUAAAGACAGAUUUCAGUUGCAGAUUUUGGAGUAUCGGAUCAUCCAGACUUAACUUCGAAACAACCAUGAUGAAGAAGGUAGUGCUCUUGUGUUUUGUCCUGCUUGCAGUCAUUUCUGUGCCCACCGCUGCUCAAUGCUUUCAACAGCCACAGGGUCUCAUUUGUCGUGAUAAUAUUGAUAAGAAAUUGUACAGUCCUGGACAGAACUGGGUGAAUAGCAAAUGUCAGUUUUGCAAAUGCCAGCCUGGAGCAAUGUCCUGCUGUAGGGGAACACGAGAUGCAGCUGGAAAGUGCAAGAAACCUGAAUAGCAGCACAGCUGGAAAAUAAAUCCAGAAAUUUACAAUGACGGAUUUGAGUCUCCAUGUUGUUACUGUGAUUAAUCAAAUGAUGAGACUCAUUUUAUACAAUGUCAUGAAAUAAAUAAUGAAGAUAAAUAAAGCAACAAUGCAUUAUGCAAAUUA